CAUAAAAAAAGAAAAUAAUUCAAUUCUCUCGCCAUCCUUCUCUUAACUCUUUCCCAAAAACCCUAGCUGCGUUUUUGCCUUCACCACCAUUUCAAUGGCAACAUCAUCAGCUCUCUCUUCACUCUCUUCUCUACUGGAUCUGGCGUCGCCAAGAAGGUGAAAUCGAGAAGCAGUAAAGUCGAACGUGUUGGGGCCAGAUCUCCGGUUUACUUAGCCGCCGUUCUGGAAUACCUCGCCGCCGAGCUUGUAGUGAGAAACGACGAGGAGCCGAGCAAGUUGUUUGGUGAAUGUGAUGAUUGCAAAGUGAGGAUUCAGGUUUACAAACUGAGGUUGAACUCACUAGUCCGCCGUAAAUAUUCCAUUCUGAUUUCGUUUUGCUUCUCUUACAAUUUCAGACGGAGACGGUCGUGUUUCUGGUAACGAUGCUACAAAGUUAUUCGCCAUGUCAAAGCUUUCUCGCCAAGAACUCAAACAGGUUUGGGUUUUUGCGGAAUCAAAGCGACAUGGAAUUCUUGGUUUGGUGGAUUUCAUCAUUGCGAUGAAGCUCGUCUCAUUGGCACAAGAUCUUCUGAAAGGUUCUGUUGACAUGAAGAGUGUUGAACUUCCAGUGUUAGAACUUGGAAGAACUGGAAAACGUGGUAUCUAACCUUAAGGUAUUGUGGAUUGCAAGGAUCAGUUCCUGCUUUGACAAGGAUACAAGCACAAGAAGCCUCACUUGGGAAACGAAUGGAAGAAGCCUUUUUUGCUGGUUCAUUUCAGCCAAAACCAUUUUUUCUUAAUUGUGUAAGAGUUACUUCUUGUAGUUUUCUUGAUCAGUGUUCUUUGUUUUUGUUAUCUUUUGUACUUGGGGUUGUAAUGAAUAUGAGGUUAUGUAAUAUGUGUUUUGUUAAUGUAAUAUUAAUUGUAAGUAUUUUUAUAAUUUUUCAAAUUUAA